rnacentral:rRNA from 1 species
GAUGAACGCUGGCGGCGUGCUUAACACAUGCAAGUCGAACGAAGCGGUUUAGCGGAAGUUUUCGGAUGGAAGUUAAACUGACUGAGUGGCGGACGGGUGAGUAACGCGUGGGUAACCUGCCUCACACAGGGGGACAACAGCUAGAAAUGGCUGCUAAUACCGCAUAAGCGCACAGUUUCGCAUGAAGCAGUGUGAAAAACUCCGGUGGUGUGAGAUGGACCCGCGUCUGAUUAGCUGGUUGGUGAGGUAACGGCUCACCAAGGCGACGAUCAGUAGCCGACCUGAGAGGGUGACCGGCCACAUUGGGACUGAGACACGGCCCAAACUCCUACGGGAGGCAGCAGUGGGGAAUAUUGCACAAUGGGGGAAACCCUGAUGCAGCGACGCCGCGUGAGUGAAGAAGUAUUUCGGUAUGUAAAGCUCUAUCAGCAGGGAAGAGAAUGACGGUACCUGACUAAGAAGCCCCGGCUAACUACGUGCCAGCAGCCGCGGUAAUACGUAGGGGGCAAGCGUUAUCCGGAUUUACUGGGUGUAAAGGGAGCGUAGACGGCUUAGCAAGUCUGUAGUGAAAGCCCGGGGCUCAACCCCGGGACUGCUUUGGAAACUGUUAAGCUGGAGUGCUGGAGAGGUAAGCGGAAUUCCUAGUGUAGCGGUGAAAUGCGUAGAUAUUAGGAGGAACACCAGUGGCGAAGGCGGCUUACUGGACAGUAACUGACGUUGAGGCUCGAAAGCGUGGGGAGCAAACAAGAGUAGAUACCCUGGUAGUCCACGCCGUAAACG